rnacentral:lncRNA from 1 species
UCUCUGGCCAGCCCUAUUCUCUGCUCUUCUUAUCCCAACUUGCCUAAUUGAUACCUUGGCCGAUGGUGUCAUUAACAAUGCUUGAAUAACAGCCUGACUGGCUGAUUUCAAAAUGAGAGACAUGAUUAAUAUGUCGGAAAUCCAGGUUUGCUGAUCCCUCUCCAUUUCUCCUCCCCUACCUCCCCCAACAGCACACGUUCUGACACCUACAAGCUCGUUACAUGAUGAUGACCUAUAUUUUUAUCUUUUUUAUGAGCAUCAAACACACAUCGUCUUGCAAGCACAUGUGUUUUUUUCCCCUGUUGACGUGUGAGUGCCUUUGAUGGUAAUUUAUUGUAGGGUUGAACAGCCAGGUCUUAAUUGUACCCUGAAAUUGCUUACCAUUUUGAUGCCUCCAAACCAUCCCAAAAUGUACCUUUUUCCUACAGAAGGGUAUGGGGCAAUCUCUUUUUUACUGUGUUAUAUGGUGGAAUGUGAAGCUUAGAGAGAACAUGAGGGAAAGAUUCCCUAGCUGGGUUUCAGGGAUGCCUUGGUACCCAGCUUCUAAUUGCAGUUGGGCUGUCUGAAAGUUCUGCUCUACUCAGACAGCAUCAUACCCUAGGACACUCACAUUCAUUACAGAAGGAUGAGUCAGUGUUCCAGAACAACUAGAAAUGUAACCCAUGUCUCAUGAAAAUAUAAGG